UGAGCAAUCUGCCCUUCACAUCGGAAUAACCAUUGGAAACGAUGGCUAAUACCGAAUAUGACUUCGGAUCGCAUGAUCUGAAGUGGAAAGCUCCGGCGGUGAAGGAUGAGCUCGCGGCCUAUCAGCUAGUUGGUGUGGGUAACGGCCCACCAAGGCGACGACGGGUAGCCGGUCUGAGAGGAUGGCCAGCCACAUUGGGACUGAGACACGGCCCAGACUCCG
rnacentral:rRNA from 1 species